AGGCCAAAGAACUUAGAUAUGUCGCUUAAAGCCGGUGAGUUUUCUUCACAACAGUGUCCACUGCCCCUCCUGAGGUCCGUAUCACCUCCCAGGAAGAAUUUAUUUUUCACACUUUGGCAUUUUGUGUAGGAAUCACAAUGUGAGUAAAAAUAUCUCACAGUUUCUGCAGGGUAAGAAUCCAGUGUUGUCUCUGUAGUGGCUCCCGUCGCUGAUGAAGUGUGGGUUCGACCCCUGGCCUGGGAACGUCUGUACGCCGAGGGUUCGGCCCUGAAAAGACCAAAAGAGAAAAAUCAUCUGCCAAGGGUAUAGACUGAAUAAUUAGGGAUGGAUUUUGAUACUGCUCAUAGCUGUCAACUUACUUAGCUGGGCAAGUCACUGACCAGCGAUGGCUUCAGUCCUGGGAGGCGCUGGCACAGGGGUGUCCCCAGCCACGUGUGGAGAAGAGGCACAGGCGGAAGACUGGGCAGGUGCUAGUCUGGGGCUGGUGGGAGAGUUAUUUCCUGAUCCAGCUUCUGCUGCUUCCAAAGGACUCAGAAUGCGGCAGCCUGGGAGGAAUGAGGCUGGGAGCUGGGGGAGCUGGGGCACCAAAGAGGGGCGGGUUCCCUGCGGACUGGAGAGGCUUCCAAUCUCCCGCCAGCACCUGGGGGCCUCAAACCGCAGAAACUCAAAUUCCCACAGUUCUGAAGGCUGAAGUCCAAGGGCAAGGUGUGGCAGGGCUGCUUUCCUCUGCGGCGUCUCGCCCCCUGUCCUCACAGGUCCCCUCCUCUGCCUGUUAGUGAUAAAUUUCCUCUUCUGAUCAGGACACUGGUCAUAGUGGAUCGGGGCCCACCCUAAUGACCUCAUGUUAACUUACCACUUGAAAUACCCCAUAUCCAAACGCAGUCACAUGCCGAGGAGCUGGGGUUAGAUUUCAACCUGUGAACUUGGGGGGCAUGCAGUUCCGCCCGUAACACCAAUUUUCAAUGGUUUUUCAGAUUCCUUUUUAAUGUGCCCCACAAGAGGGGGAAAACCCCAUUUUGAGCGCAAACACCCAAUGAAUCUACUUAUUUAUAAAUCAUAUUCUCCUGGACUAAUAUAUUUUGCACACUGGAAAGCAUACCCGUACAUAGACAAUUUAACGGGCAGACAAGAUGGAAAUAGAUGUUCUGUUUUGGGUCCCCUGGGACGGAGACCCCCUGGUCCUCAAAGGGGGACCAUUGCCUUUGGGGGGACCGAGUCUGGAUCUCCAGAUUGACACACUUAUUCCUUAGCUUUGAACACCUUCUGUAAGAUCCCAGCCACGGCUCCCGUCACCCUCUCUCUCUCGAAGGAAACGUGCCCUCCCUCCGGACCCGUCUCGUGUCAGUGUGUAGUUACCUCAGCAAUGGAAUUGCCUCCAGUUCCAAGUCCCAAGGGCACGCAUCCAUCCCCCCGCAGGCUCACCACCCCUGUGUUCCAUUCGCCCCCCCCCCCCAACCGUUUUCUAUUUGAUUGAGUUUACAUUCUUCCCGGCUCCUCACCGAGGCUGUGAACGCCCAGGGGGACAGGUUCGUCUUCGACUCUGUUUUCCUCGUGCCCAGCGUGGUGCUGGGGAGCAGCAGGGGCUUCCCAGAUUGCUGACGUCCUGGCUUUUCUACUUCAUCACAAGGCAAAACAGAAAAUUAACAACUCACUAUCGCUUUAGAGGUUAAAAAUUCAAGCCUUGCAAUUAAGCCAAAGAUAGAUAUGACUAUCUAUCACAAUAAAAAAUGAAUAGCCCUCUGAAUUGCCCUUGUAGAGAGGCCUCUGGGAGUAAAAAGACAUACAGGUCAAUACGUUUGACCGCUGUUGGUGUUCCCAGUGUGCAGGGCUCAGGGCUGCAGGCAAGGUGGUAUCCAGCCGCAACCUCAGCUCAGAGCUGCUGCAGGUGAAUUGACCUGUAAUGUUGCCUGAACUGUCAGCAGAAAAGCAAAGACAAGAUGUGAAAGUUAUCCUAAGGGGGAGGUCCAAGGACCAUGGCGAAGAGGCUGCCACAGUCCUGCCCACGGAGGAGAGGAAAAGCCUUGUUAGCGAGUGUCUGUUACGUGCCAGACACUGCUUAGCUUUCCCUGCCUGAGCUCCUUCAAUCCUCCAACACCACCAAGUAGGAAACAUCCGUGCUUCGCAGAUGCUGUUACUUCGAGACGUGAGGUAGUCGUCCCAGUAUCACAGAGCUAGGAGGGGAGUGGAGGAGCCGGAUUUGAACCCGGGGCUGUCUGACGGGGGGAGACGGUGGCUUCAUCUAUCAUCCUGCUGGGACCGGUGGAUCCCAGGCGCUUCCCCAUCUUCCAGCAUCUUUCCUUGACUCUCUCACCUCUUCUAGGCAGUGCCUCUGCCCUAUUCCCCGGUGGCGCUCUCUUCUGAUCAAGGCGGGCUGGCUGGACAAAGGCGGUAAUUACUGACCGAGGACCAGCCCCCCUCUCUGGCGAUCGACGUCCAUUCAGACUCGGGUCUCGAGGGGACCGUGUCGGACCCAGGAUGGAGAGAGAACCAAGGGCGGGCAGGCCUGUAGGACCUUGCCAGAUCAUGUCAGGCUGGCAGCCGUCUCUCCUGGGCCGUAUGGAGGCAUGGUGGGUUUUGUGUGGCUUUUGUCUGGGUUUAGUCCCAACCUCAGUGGGAGACGAACGAUGGGCUAUUAGACACCCUUACCUUAGGCUAUGAUGGACAGAACACCAACACGCCUAAGAACAGACUCUAUCUGUUGCUUAAUUAGAAGGAGGAGGCGUGAGUUCUGCUUUAAAGAAGAGCCUCUCAGAGUUCCCCUUGUGGCUCAUGGAACCCGACUAGUAUCCAUGAGGACGCAGGUUCGAUCCCUGGCCUCGCUCAGUGGGUUAAGGAUCCGCUGUUGCUGCGAGUGGUAGUGUAGGUCGAAGAUGUGGCUUGGAUUCAGCAUUGCUGUGGUUGUGGUGUAGGCAGGCAGCUGCAGCCCCCAUUCAACCCCUAGCCUGGGAGCUUCCUACAUCACAGGUGUAGCCAUAAGAAAAAAAGAGAGCGAGAGAAGAGUCUUUCUCGUGGUGCUGGCCUUCCCUUCCUGGGUCACCUGGGAUUUGAGGUCGGUUGUGCUCUUGAGUAUGUUCUUAGUGAACUUAGUUCACUGGCCGGAGACUUUCCCUUGAGGUUUCUUUGCCAAUGGACCCGGCUUCUAGGGCCGAGUGGCUGGUGGGGCUUUGUGGGCUAAGGGAGAGCUCCCGGUAGGCCUCAUCAAAACUGCACACCUUGUCACCAGAGGGGGCUCUGGGCAUUUUGACACUGUCUGAAACCUGCCCUCUAGUCUUUCCAAGUCAAGGGGACAUCAUCUCUCCACUCUUUGGAGCCCCAUUCACCCUUGAAAAAACGGAUCAAAUUUUCAACUUGACAAUAAGUGCCAGGCAAAUGCCUUCAUGGGUGCAGAACCCCCGCCCCCGCAGGCUCAGUGAUGGACAGUGGGGGACACAGACUCUAAAACCGAAAAACAUCCCAAGAAAUAGCAACAACAAC
rnacentral:lncRNA from 1 species